GGUUCUGAUAGCUUCUCAAGUUACUUUCUUCGCUAGCCGUUAGAUUCAGUUACUGUAACCGUUCCGACAAGUUACUGUCGAGCGUAGUAACUAGCUCACCUAUAAAGCGGCCGGGUUGUGGCUUAGCUGGUAUGAUUUUUCCCCAAUUCGCCUGUUGGCUGAAACCUAAACAGAUACGGCGACGCCGAUAGGUCAACACAACACCCAGAUCGGGAUAUGUUCUUCGUGAAUUAUCUAGGAUUCCUUCUCAUAUACCUCAAAUCAUAGCUAGGUCCUGACAGUCCCCCAGCCGGGUACAUUCACCGGCGCGAGGAAGCGGAAGGCCCCGGCGACGGCGACGGCAAAGGCUGUCGGGAAGCCUCGCAAGACGCAGGUUGAGGAGCCGAUUCAGAUGCCUGUGUACUAUGGAUGUAGAGCACCGUUUUCCCGCGUGCGUGGCAACUAUUUAGAAGACAAAUGUGCUCACUAAUUGGUGAGCUGCCGCUGCAGCCACAGUCCAUGUCAUUGGUGGAUCUACAGCUCUGGAUCUUCAGGCUGUUCCGGCUCCAUCCAGAAACACAAGAUCUCGAUAUCAAGGGGUUCCUCAAGCAACGCAAAACUGAUUUCUUUGACGAAGAGUCCUCUGAACCGGACUGUUGUUUGGAGGACUACCCGUGGGGCAUGCAUGAGUUUUUGACUGGCAAAUGCUGGAGUUCCUUUGCAAAUAAAUUGAAGAGAAAAAAAACAUGUGACACAGAAGUUCAUGUUGUAUGUGCAAUCCUUUGAGGUCAGGCACUACGACAUUUUGCUCAAAGCCGUACAUGAUGAUUACUCUCAACUGGCGAUGGUUGUGUUGCCUGGGACGGAGUGCCUGGCAAGUAGUAGCUACGCCUUCCGUGACCUUGUGGAUGACCUGACGAUGACAGCUAAGGAAUUGGUACAUUAUCUCACUGGACCCUUAGG